rnacentral:rRNA from 1 species
GACGAACGCUGGCGGCGUGCCUAAUACAUGCAAGUAGAACGCACAGUUUAUACCGUAGCUUGCUACACCAUAGACUGUGAGUUGCGAACGGGUGAGUAACGCGUAGGUAACCUGCCUGGUAGCGGGGGAUAACUAUUGGAAACGAUAGCUAAUACCGCAUAAUAUUAAUUAUUGCAUGAUAAUUAAUUGAAAGGUGCAAUUGUACCACUACCAGAUGGACCUGCGUUGUAUUAGCUAGUAGGUGAGGUAACGGCUCACCUAGGCGACGAUACAUAGCCGACCUGAGAGGGUGAUCGGCCACACUGGGACUGAGACACGGCCCAGACUCCUACGGGAGGCAGCAGUAGGGAAUCUUCGGCAAUGGACGAAAGUCUGACCGAGCAACGCCGCGUGAGUGAAGAAGGUUUUCGGAUCGUAAAGCUCUGUUGUAAGAGAAGAACGGAUGUGAGAGUGGAAAGUUCACACUGUGACGGUAUCUUACCAGAAAGGGACGGCUAACUACGUG